rnacentral:rRNA from 1 species
CAGCCGCCGCGGGAAUACGUAGGUGGCAAGCGUUGUCCGGAAUUAUUGGGCGUAAAGGGCUCGCAGGCGGUUUCUUAAGUCUGAUGUGAAAGCCCCCGGCUCAACCGGGGAGGGUCAUUGGAAACUGGGAAACUUGAGUGCAGAAGAGGAGAGUGGAAUUCCACGUGUAGCGGUGAAAUGCGUAGAGAUGUGGAGGAACACCAGUGGCGAAGGCGACUCUCUGGUCUGUAACUGACGCUGAGGAGCGAAAGCAUGGGGAGCGAACAGGAUUAGAUACCCCAGUAGUCCCUGUCUCUUAUAC